AUUCAAAGCCUCAAACUCCAUUAUAAAGCAUACACAUGUUCAAACAUGGAAAAUUACAAAAAUGACAUGUUGACCAAAUAUUGACUUUGGUCAAUAGUUAACUUUUUGGUCAACUUUGACCAAAUUCAACUUAACAUUUACACCACUUGGAAUCCUAAAACCCUAAAUCCCAAUACUAUUUCUAUUCCUAAGUUCAACCUUGAUCCUUGCCAAUUGUCAUGGAUGCUUCAAAGAUCAAACUUGGUGUCCCUUGUUUGCAAGCUUUUGUCCAACCCACUUCAUGUGCAUAUGACCUACAAGAAACCUAGAAAAACAAUGCAUGAACCUGAUCAAUAAACAACAUGAAGCAAGUUAGAACAUAAGCCACAAACUUGCUACCAAUAACCAAGGAGCAUGAAACAAAAGCCAUGAUUCAUACCUGAAGCAUGCAUAAGCAAAGUCAGAACCACAAGCUCCAUGCAGCACACAAGUCAGAACAUGUCAAGGUAUGAAAUGCACAACAUGAAGUCACAAUUUAGAAGCAUGUUUGAAUCAAAGUCAGAACCAACAAGACUACACACCAAGAACCAUGCAUUCACAAGUCAUAAUUCUUUGUACAAAAUGCAAACCAAACCCUCCAAUGAUCAAUCCUUCAAAGAAAAUUUAGUAUGCCAAACACUAGCACCAAAACCUGCUGCCACCUGAUGCAAAACCAAGCCAUUAUGCAGUGAAACACACAAACCUCAAAAUAGAACCAUUCACCAAGCCAUACAACAUGAUUCAAGUCCAAGCCGCUUAUAGUGUAAUCCAUUGAUCAACCUGAAGCACACCACAUAAAUCCUGCAAUGUCAUGACAAUGCAACAAAGCUACCAAUCACAUCACCACAUAACAUUCACAUCAGAUUGCCACAUUUUUCAAAUCAAUAAUGAUCAAAGCAUCAAACUAAACACAAUUGAACCAAAAACCAACAACUAACCUAACUGCAUUUCAACUAACAUAAUUCCCAAACUGA
rnacentral:lncRNA from 1 species